GUCCUAGCCGUAAACUAUGAGCACUAGGUGUCGGAGGUUUACCUUCGGCGCCGCAAGUUAACACGUUAAGUGCUCCACCUGGGGACUACGACCGCAAGGUUAAAACUCAAAGGAAUUGACGGGGCCCGCACAAGCGGUGGAACAUGUGGUUCAAUUCGACGCUACGCGAAGAACCUCACCAGGGCUUGACAUGUAGGAAGUAGGAACCUGAAAGGGAACCAACCUGUCAAGUCAGGAGCCUGCACAGGUGUUGCAUGGCUGUCGU
rnacentral:rRNA from 1 species